rnacentral:rRNA from 1 species
AUUGAACGCUGGCGGCAGGCCUAACACAUGCAAGUCGAGCGGAUGAAGGGAGCUUGCUCCUGGAUUCAGCGGCGGACGGGUGAGUAAUGCCUAGGAAUCUGCCUGGUAGUGGGGGAUAACGUCCGGAAACGGGCGCUAAUACCGCAUACGUCCUGAGGGAGAAAGUGGGGGAUCUUCGGACCUCACGCUAUCAGAUGAGCCUAGGUCGGAUUAGCUAGUUGGUGGGGUAAAGGCCUACCAAGGCGACGAUCCGUAACUGGUCUGAGAGGAUGACCAGUCAAACGGGGACUGAGGCACGGGCCCGGAUCCCAAGGGAGGGCGGAGUGGGGAAAUUUUGAAAAUGGGGGGAAACCUUGUCCAGGCCAGCCGGGGGGGGGAAGAAGGGUUUCGGGUUUUAAAACGCUUUUGAUUGGGAAGAAAGGCGAGUAGGUAAUAACCCGGGUGUUUGACGGUAACCGAAGAAAAAGGACCGGGUAAAUUCGGG